UACGAAGGGGGCUAGCGUUGUUCGGAAUUACUGGGCGUAAAGCGUGCGCAGGCGGUCUUCCAAGUCAGUGGUGAAAGCCCGGAGCUCAACUCCGGAACUGCCAUUGAAACUGUGAGGCUUGAGGACGAGAGAGGUGAGUGGAAUUCCCAGUGUAGAGGUGAAAUUCGUAGAUAUUGGGAAGAACACCGGUGGCGAAGGCGGCUCACUGGCUCGUUUCUGACGCUCAUGCACGACAGCGUGGGGAGCAAACAGG
rnacentral:rRNA from 1 species